CCUACGGGAGGCAGCAGUGGGGAAUUUUGCGCAAUGGGGGAAACCCUGACGCAGCAACGCCGCGUGGAGGAAGAAGGCCUUCGGGUUGUAAACUCCUUUUCUGGGGGAAGAGGAAGGACGGUACCUCAGGAAGAAGCACCGGCUGACUACGUGCCAGCAGCCGCGGUAAAACGUAGGGUGCGAGCGUUAUCCGGAUUUAUUGGGCGUAAAGGGCACGCAGGCGGUUCUGCAAGUCGGACGUGAAAGCCUCUGGCUUAACUGGGGGAGGUCGUUCGAGACUGCGGGACUUGAGGGCGGGAGAGGGGUGUGGAAUUCCCGGUGUAGGGGUGGAAUGCGUAGAGAUCGGGAGGAACACCAGUGGCGAAGGCGGCCCCCUGGCCCGCACCUGACGCUGAGGUGCGAAAGCGUGGGGAGCGAACGGGAUUAGAUACCCCUGUAGU
rnacentral:rRNA from 1 species